GGUGUUUGACGGCAUGCCGGCACACCUGCGGCGCAUCGGACGUCAUCAGUGGGAGCAUUUAGGGAGCUGAGUGAUGGACGUCUGAUGUCGGAUUAUUGUCGUUCCCAUAAGUGCCUGUCUCGCCGCCUGCUCGCCUGCCUGUUUCUUUGUGCGCUGGCCCAUUUUUGGAUCUAUGACAGAGACUUACCUGGCGCUGGCCUGCGAUCGUUGUUACUCCUGUAUCCUGGUGUUUCAAGUAGCUCUGGUUUGCCCAUCUAUCUGUCUGCAUACCUCGGCUCCGUUCCAUUCCCCCUCGGCUCUGUUUUUUUGCACAUUUACCUGGUCAUUGUAUAUAGCCCCGUCCCCCUGUAAAUAUUUCCUGACCACUGUUAAUAAAUCUGCUUCACCGCUGUUCUGUGCCUGUG